rnacentral:rRNA from 1 species
UACGGAGGGUGCAAGCGUUAUCCGGAUUCACUGGGUUUAAAGGGUGCGUAGGUGGGUUGGUAAGUCAGUGGUGAAAUCUCCAGGCUUAACUUGGAAACUGCCAUUGAUACUAUCAAUCUUGAAUACCGUGGAGGUCAGCGGAAUAUGUCAUGUAGCGGUGAAAUGCUUAGAUAUGACAUGGAACACCAAUUGCGAAGGCAGCUGGCUACACGAAUAUUGACACUGAUGCACGAAAGCGUGGGGAUCAAACAGG